rnacentral:misc_RNA from 1 species
AGCUUCAUAAGAAGCAUCAAAUUAUUAACACAAUCAAAACCCAAAAAUUUAAGUAGGCUAAAGUUUUCCCGCCAAACAAACACUCUGGAAGCACUUACAUCGAUGUUAUAAGAUAUUUAUCUUGCGCCACCGCAAGCUAGCAACAAGUAUUUCUUCAAAAUCAUGGGUGUGUAUAAAUUCAUUUAUGUAAUGACGGUAGGGGCGGAUCGGCCGGUGAAUUCUUGCAUUUUUGAGAGCUUAAGAGCAACUUCCACCAGAGGAGCAAGAGCUUCCUGAGAAUCUCUCCCAGUUUUUGACGGAUCUUUCUCAUAUUGCUCGAUGUAGAGCCGAAUUGUUGCACCUUCAGAGCCAGUUCCAGAUAGGCGGAAGACCAGUCGUGAACCAUCCUCAAACAAAUAUCGAAUUCCCUGGUGCUUGGAGAUGGAACCAU